CGGGGGGAGCAAGCGUUGUUCGGAUUUACUGGGCGUAAAGGGCGCGUAGGCGGCCACCGCAAGUCAGUUGUGAAAUCUCUGGGCUUAACCCAGAAAAGGUCAACUGAUACUGCGGGGCUAGAGUGCAGAAGGGGCAACUGGAAUUCUCGGUGUAGCGGUGAAAUGCGUAGAUAUCGAGAGGAACACCUGCGGCGAAGGCGGGUUGCUGGGCUGACACUGACGCUGAGGCGCGAAAGCUAGGGGAGCGAACGGGAUUAGAUACCCCGGUAGUCCUAGCCUUAAACGAUGAAUGCUUGGUGUCUGGGGUUUUAUAGUCCCCGGGUGCCGUCGCUAACGCUUUAAGCAUUCCGCCUGGGGAGUACGGUCGCAAGACUG
rnacentral:rRNA from 1 species